UUCUACUCUUCUUCUUUUUUCCCUCUUUUUUUCAGCAUCGUUCUCUGGUACUACUUCAACAUCAUCAUCAUCUGAUAUGACUGCAACUGCAGUGACAUCUGGUACUACUACAAUUGCCUCACCAUCUGAUACUACUACAACUGCAUUGACAUCUGGUAGUACUACUACAAU
rnacentral:lncRNA from 1 species